rnacentral:lncRNA from 1 species
UAGGUUAGAUCUUUGUCAGGAAGUUAUAUACUAUGUCAUGUACUGUUAGGUUAGAUCUUUGUCAGGAAGUGUAUAUACUAUAUCAUGUACUGUUAUGGUUAGAUCUUUGUCAGGAAGUGUAUAUACUAUGUCAUGUACUGUUAUGGUUAGAUCUUUGUCAGGAAGUGUAUAUACUAUGUCAUGUACUGUUAUGGUUAGAGCUUUGUCAGGAAGUGUAUAUACGAGGACAUGUACUGUUAUGGUUAGAU